rnacentral:rRNA from 1 species
UACGUAGGGUGCAAGCGUUGUCCGGAAUUAUUGGGCGUAAAGAGCUCGUAGGCGGUUUGUCGCGUCUGCUGUGAAAACGCGGGGCUCAACUCCGCGCCUGCAGUGGGUACGGGCAGACUAGAGUGCAGUAGGGGGAGACUGGAAUUCCUGGUGUAGCGGUGGAAUGCGCAGAUAUCAGGAGGAACACCGGUGGCGAAGGCGGGUCUCUGGGCUGUAACUGACGCUGAGGCGCGAAAGCGUGGGGAG